rnacentral:lncRNA from 1 species
AUGUGGCCUGUGUGUAAAAUGCCCGUGCGUGUAUGGGGACGCUACCUGGGAGACAGAGCGUGCAGACUCCUCACGCGCACAAAGUGGUGCCCGCUGUGGAGGCUUGGAAAAGCUUACCUCCGCCAUUGGCUGGAAAUCAUCCCUCACCUCCGCCUCUUCCUCCUUUUGUUGGGAAACUGCAUUCUCUCCGUCCCUGGAGAGAACAGGCCCACUCCUGUCGGGCCCUUUCGGCACUCAUGGCCAUUCUGGCAGCGUGAUACUCCCAACCCUGAACGCCUUGGCGAAGGCUCCUCCCGGUGCAGGUCUGGCAGGAACCUGUCUGCAUGCAGGAGCCCAGACCCCUGGGCAGCUUUUGUCACUCGGCACACAGAGCUGUGGGUCCAGCCGUGUCCCCGCUUUGGCCCCGUCAUUCAGGAACCACGUUCCCCUGGUGAGGCAAGGAGAGGAGAGGACGGAGACAUGGAUCAGAUGGGGCCCGUGCCCUGCAGAGGGGCCUCAAUGCACACACACUCAUGUUGGUGCAUGGCACACACCUCUCCCUCUCACACGCAUGUUGGUGCAUGGCACGCACCUCUGCCUCUCACACGCAUGUUGGUGCAUGGCACGCACCUCUCCCUCUCACACGUAUGUUGGUACAUGGCACACACCUCUCCCUCUCACACAUAUGUUGGUGCAUGGCACGCACCUCUGCCUCUCACACGCAUGUUGGUGCAUGGCACGCACCUCUGCCUCUCACACAUAUGUUGGUACAUGGCACGCACCUCUCCCUCUCACACGCAUGUUGGUGCAUGGCACGCACCUCUCCCUCUCACACGCAUGUUGGUGCAUGGCACACACCUCUCCCUCUCAUACGCAUGUUGGUGCAUGGCACACACCUCUGCCUCUCACACGCAUGUUGGUGCAUGGCACACACCUCUCCCUCUCACACGCAUGUUGGUGCAUGGCACGCACCUCUCCCUCUCACACUCACGUGGUGCAUGUCGCUUGCCUCUCUCAGAUUGA